AUGUUGCACCUAUGAAAACUAAAACAACAACAAAAUUAAGAAGUUUUAACAUUGUGACCAAAGAUUGAUGUUCUUCACAGAGCAGAUGAUGCACUUUCUGAUAGUGCUGUUUUUCUGAGAAGAUAACAUG
rnacentral:snoRNA from 14 species